rnacentral:lncRNA from 1 species
UUAAGACCCUGGGAUAACCAACUGCUGCCAGCCUCAGACAGCUCUAAUAUUUAUUCCUCUUAGAUCCCUCCUUCAAAAUUUUUGUGAAGGAGAGAUAGAGUAGUUAUUGGCUUUGUAAUUCACAACAGUGUAAGGAUAACUUUAUGUGCCAGUAGCAGAGUAAUAGCUUCAUCUCCUGUUCAUUAUGCUGAGCUUUGUGCAGCUUGGAUGGGAUUGCAAAU